UUAAGCGACUAAGCGUACACGGUGGAUGCCCUGGCAGUCAGAGGCGAUGAAGGACGUGCUAAUCUGCGAAAAGCGUCGGUAAGGUGAUAUGAACCGUUACAGCCGGCGAUGUCCGAAUGGGGAAACCCAGUGUGAUUCGUCACACUAUCGUUAACUGAAUACAUAGGUUAACGAGGCGAACCGGGGGAACUGAAACAUCUAAGUACCCCGAGGAAAAGAAAUCAACCGAGAUUCCCCCAGUAGCGGCGAGCGAACGGGGAGCAGCCCAGAGUCUGAAUCAGCUUGUGUGUUAGUGGAACGGUCUGGAAAGUCCGACGGUACAGGGUGAUAGUCCCGUACACCAAAAUGCACAGGUUGUGAACUCGAAGAGUAGGGCGGGACACGUGGUAUCCUGUCUGAAUAUGGGGGGACCAUCCUCCAAGGCUAAAUACUCCUGACUGACCGAUAGUGAACCAGUACCGUGAGGGAAAGGCGAAAAGAACCCCGGCGAGGGGAGUGAAAAAGAACCUGAAACCGUGUACGUACAAGCAGUGGGAGCACCUUCGGGUGUGACUGCGUACCUUUUGUAUAAUGGGUCAGCGACUUAUAUUCUGUAGCAAGGUUAACCGUAUAGGGGAGCCGCAGGGAAACCGAGUCUUAACUGGGCGUUAAGUUGCAGGGUAUAGACCCGAAACCCGGUGAUCUAGCCAUGGGCAGGUUGAAGGUUGGGUAACACUAACUGGAGGACCGAACCGACUAAUGUUGAAAAAUUAGCGGAUGACUUGUGGCUGGGGGUGAAAGGCCAAUCAAACCGGGAGAUAGCUGGUUCUCCCCGAAAGCUAUUUAGGUAGCGCCUCGUGAAUUCAUCUUCGGGGGUAGAGCACUGUUUCGGCUAGGGGGUCAUCCCGACUUACCAACCCGAUGCAAACUACGAAUACCGAAGAAUGUUAUCACGGGAGACACACGGCGGGUGCUAACGUCCGUCGUGAAGAGGGAAACAACCCAGACCGCCAGCUAAGGUCCCAAAGUCAUGGUUAAGUGGGAAACGAUGUGGGAAGGCACAGACAGCCAGGAUGUUGGCUUAGAAGCAGCCAUCAUUUAAAGAAAGCGUAAUAGCUCACUGGUCGAGUCGGCCUGCGCGGAAGAUGUAACGGGGCUAAACCAUGCACCGAAGCUGCGGCAGCGACACUAUGUGUUGUUGGGUAGGGGAGCGUUCUGUAAGCCUGCGAAGGUGACCUGUGAGGGUUGCUGGAGGUAUCAGAAGUGCGAAUGCUGACAUAAGUAACGAUAAAGCGGGUGAAAAGCCCGCUCGCCGGAAGACCAAGGGUUCCUGUCCAACGUUAAUCGGGGCAGGGUGAGUCGACCCCUAAGGCGAGGCCGAAAGGCGUAGUCGAUGGGAAACAGGUUAAUAUUCCUGUACUUGGUGUUACUGCGAAGGGGGGACGGAGAAGGCUAUGUUAGCCGGGCGACGGUUGUCCCGGUUUAAGCAUGUAGGCUGAUUGUCCAGGCAAAUCCGGAUAAUCAAGGCUGAGGUGUGAUGACGAGGCACUACGGUGCUGAAGUAACAAAUGCCCUGCUUCCAGGAAAAGCCUCUAAGCAUCAGGUAACAUUAAAUCGUACCCCAAACCGACACAGGUGGUCAGGUAGAGAAUACCAAGGCGCUUGAGAGAACUCGGGUGAAGGAACUAGGCAAAAUGGUGCCGUAACUUCGGGAGAAGGCACGCUGGUGUGUAGGUGAAGCCCCUGCGGGUGGAGCUGAGACCAGUCGAAGAUACCAGCUGGCUGCAACUGUUUAUUAAAAACACAGCACUGUGCAAACACGAAAGUGGACGUAUACGGUGUGACGCCUGCCCGGUGCCGGAAGGUUAAUUGAUGGGGUUAUCCGUAAGGAGAAGCUCUUGAUCGAAGCCCCGGUAAACGGCGGCCGUAACUAUAACGGUCCUAAGGUAGCGAAAUUCCUUGUCGGGUAAGUUCCGACCUGCACGAAUGGCGUAAUGAUGGCCAGGCUGUCUCCACCCGAGACUCAGUGAAAUUGAACUCGCUGUGAAGAUGCAGUGUACCCGCGGCAAGACGGAAAGACCCCGUGAACCUUUACUAUAGCUUGACACUGAACAUUGAGCCUUGAUGUGUAGGAUAGGUGGGAGGCUUUGAAGCGUGGACGCCAGUCUGCGUGGAGCCAACCUUGAAAUACCACCCUUUAAUGUUUGAUGUUCUAACGUUGGCCCCUUACCGGGGUUGCGGACAGUGUCUGGUGGGUAGUUUGACUGGGGCGGUCUCCUCCCAAAGCGUAACGGAGGAGCACGAAGGUUAGCUAAUCCUGGUCGGACAUCAGGAGGUUAGUGCAAUGGCAUAAGCUAGCUUGACUGCGAGCGUGACGGCGCGAGCAGGUGCGAAAGCAGGUCAUAGUGAUCCGGUGGUUCUGAAUGGAAGGGCCAUCGCUCAACGGAUAAAAGGUACUCCGGGGAUAACAGGCUGAUACCGCCCAAGAGUUCAUAUCGACGGCGGUGUUUGGCACCUCGAUGUCGGCUCAUCACAUCCUGGGGCUGAAGUAGGUCCCAAGGGUAUGGCUGUUCGCCAUUUAAAGUGGUACGCGAGCUGGGUUUAGAACGUCGUGAGACAGUUCGGUCCCUAUCUGCCGUGGGCGCUGGAGAAUUGAGGGGGGCUGCUCCUAGUACGAGAGGACCGGAGUGGACGCAUCACUGGUGUUCGGGUUGUCAUGCCAAUGGCACUGCCCGGUAGCUAAAUGCGGAAGAGAUAAGUGCUGAAAGCAUCUAAGCACGAAACUUGCCCCGAGAUGAGUUCUCCCUGAGACUUUAAGUCUCCUGAAGGAACGUUGAAGACGACGACGUUGAUAGGCCGGGUGUGUAAGCGCAGCGAUGCGUUGAGCUAACCGGUACUAAUGAACCGUGAGGCUUAACCUU
rnacentral:rRNA from 1 species